ACCAGACUCCUACGGGAGGCAGCAGUGGGGAAUAUUGCACAAUGGGGGAAACCCUGAUGCAGCGACGCCGCGUGAGCGAAGAAGUAUCUCGGUAUGUAAGGCUCUAUCAGCAGGGAAGAAAAAAAUGACGGUACCUGACUAAGAAGCCCCGGCUAACUACGUGCCAGCAGCCGCGGUAAUACGUAGGGGGCAAGCGUUGUCCGGAUUUACUGGGUGUAAAGGGAGCGUAGACGGCGAAGAAAGUCUGAAGUGAAAGCCCGCGGCUCAACCGCGGAACUGCUUUGGAAACUUUUUUGCUGGAGUACCGGAGAGGUAAGCGGAAUUCCUAGUGUAGCGGUGAAAUGCGUAGAUAUUAGGAGGAACACCAGUGGCGAAGGCGGCUUACUGGACGGUAACUGACGUUGAGGCUCGAAAGCGUGGGGAGCAAACAGGAUUAGAUACCCCGGUAUA
rnacentral:rRNA from 1 species